rnacentral:rRNA from 1 species
GACGAACGCUGGCGGCGUGCCUAAUACAUGCAAGUAGAACGCUGAAGGAGGAGCUUGCUUCUCUGGAUGAGUUGCGAACGGGUGAGUAACGCGUAGGUAACCUGCCUGGUAGCGGGGGAUAACUAUUGGAAACGAUAGCUAAUACCGCAUAAUAGUAGAUGUUGCAUGACAUUUGCUUAAAAGGUGCAAUUGCAUCACUACCAGAUGGACCUGCGUUGUAUUAGCUAGUUGGUGGGGUAACGGCUCACCAAGGCGACGAUACAUAGCCGACCUGAGAGGGGGAGCGGCCACACUGGGACUGAGACACGGCCCAGACGCCUACGGAAGGCAGCAGUAGGGAAUCGGCGGCAAGGGGCGGAAGUCUGACCGAGCAACGCCGCGGGAGUGAAGAAGGAUGUCGGAUCGUAAAGCUCGGUUGUAAGAGAAGAACGAGUGUGAGAGUGGAAAGUUCACACUGUGACGGUAUCUGACCAGAAAGGGACGGCUAACUACGUG